UUUCCGUAGGUGAACCUGCGGAAGGAUCAUUAUCAUGUAAUUCAGUCCCCUUGGCUGUGUUAUAUAUAUACCCACUCUGUGUACCUUCUCCUGUUGCUUCCGCUGGGUGUGUAAUUCGCCCGGCGGAAGGGUAAAAAUAACCUCUGAGUAUUGAUGAAAUCUCUGUCUGAACCGAAUAGAAAGAAAAAUGUUAAAACUUUCAGCAACGGAUCUCUUGGUUCUCGCAUCGAGGAAGAACGCAGC
rnacentral:misc_RNA from 1 species